AUUGAACGCUGGCGGCAGGCUUAACACAUGCAAGUCGAGCGGAGAGAGGUAGCUUGCUACUGAUCUUAGCGGCGGACGGGUGAGUAAUGCUUAGGAAUCUGCCUAUUAGUGGGGGACAACAUUUCGAAAGGAAUGCUAAUACCGCAUACGUCCUACGGGAGAAAGCAGGGGAUCUGCGGACCUUGCGCUAAUAGAUGAGCCUAAGUCGGAUUAGCUAGUGGGUGGGGUAAAGGCCUACCAAGGCGACGAUCUGUAGCGGGUCUGAGAGGAUGAUCCGCCACACUGGGACUGAGACACGGCCCAGACUCCUACGGGAGGCAGCAGUGGGGAAUAUUGGACAAUGGGCGCAAGCCUGAUCCAGCCAUGCCGCGUGUGUGAAGAAGGCCUUAUGGUUGUAAAGCACUUUAAGCGAGGAGGAGGCUACUUUAGAUAAUACCUAGAGAUAGUGGACGUUACUCGCAGAAUAAGCACCGGCUAACCCUGUGCCAGCCGCCGCGGUAAAAC
rnacentral:rRNA from 1 species